rnacentral:rRNA from 1 species
AGUGAACGCUGGCGGUAGGCCUAACACAUGCAAGUCGAACGGCAGCACAGUAAGAGCUUGCUCUUACGGGUGGCGAGUGGCGGACGGGUGAGGAAUACAUCGGAAUCUACUUUUUCGUGGGGGAUAACGUAGGGAAACUUACGCUAAUACCGCAUACGACCUACGGGUGAAAGCAGGGGAUCUUCGGACCUUGCGCGAUUGAAUGAGCCGAUGUCGGAUUAGCUAGUUGGCGGGGUAAAGGCCCACCAAGGCGACGAUCCGUAGCUGGCCUGAGAGGAUGAUCGGCCACACUGGAAGUGAGAGACGGACCAGCCUCCUACGGGAGGCAGCAGUCGGGAAUGUAGAUCAAUGGGCGGAAGCCUGACGGAGCCAGACCGAGUGCGUGAGUAAGGCCUUCGGUUGGUAUGUAAAUCUCUUUUGGUAAGAAAGAAAGGCGGCAGGUUAAUGCCCGUCUGGACGGUCCCUAACCAAAAAGCAAGGGCUAACUACGUG